UGAGGCGAACGACCAUGAGAUCGCGGGAUCGAUUCCCAUCCAAAGCACGCCUUUCCUGUCCUCGUGACAGGAAGGAAAGGAAGAAAAAGAUGGGCCAGGCCGAGUUAACACCGCUGCAGGCACCGGUGUGCGGAAACAGCUAUAACUGGCGCCUGCAACGCUAAAUAGAAAAUGCCGCAAUUGAAGGUGCCCAUGCCCAUCCAUCUCCGCCAAACCAGGUCGCCACCCCACGCUGCUGCAGCGCAGAGAGGAUAAGGACGAGCCCCUCGGUAUUGUCAUCCCCCCAAGAUCUUUUCCCACUUCCCCCUCACUCUACAUCGCCGCUCCCCACCUUCCCAAAUGUCGCUGUCGCCAUGGCUGCCUCGUAGCCGCGCUCACCGUCGUCCCUGUGCCUCCUAUUCAUGUCCGGGAUCUCCGCCGCACUCGGCCACAUCUCAUGCACCGAGCCAUUCGAGUCGGGGACCUGCAUCUGCGCUGCCUUCGUCGUCUUCGUCUACGUCGGCCACCAUGAGCUCGUUGUCGAUUCGCCAUCGUCCUGCACUCCCAGCUAUCAACGGGCCUCCCUGCGCAUUCUAGAUAAUGUGUCGGGGAUAUCUAGCGACAUAUGCCAGGGGGUGGCUUAUCAUGGAUGUGGACAGGAGUACGUCAUCGGGCCCUGGAAGCGGAAGUGAGCGAGAUCUCGAACGCCUACGAGUCUUACCCAGGUUCGGAGCGCUCCAUGGAGAUAACACCCCUAGUCCUGCUCUGCGGGCUCUCUACGUGAUGACUAACAUCAAUAAGGUAGCUCUAGGCCUACCCCCAGGGGUACAAUGGUAAUUUGUCCGGGUGUAGGACCCGGAUGACAGUGUCUCUAGGCGUCGGCUUCUCCGCCGGUUGUUGGGGCUCACCAAUUGGUGGGUCCCGAAGGCUGUCAGGAACUUGGCCGACAGGUGGGCCCACCGCCUGUGGGCCACGCUAACUGCCCUUUACUGUAGCCUUGCCUUUGGUGACGACAGUCUUGUCGAGGGACGUAUAGCUACAGUCUCGCCGUCAGGUGGGCGCUUACUGUAGCCACUCCCCGUCUCAUCAGAUUAAUGGCACGUAGACUCUGAGGGGAGGGAGGGUCGCCUGCUAGAGGUCGGCCCGUCCUCAUGGCUGACUCCUUGGGGUGCACCUUCUUCUAGCUGCUCGCUGAUAGGUAGGGCCCGCCGCCUGCGGGCCAUACCGACCGCACAUCGUGGGAGCUCUACCAGGGAAAAGCCUAUACACAGAAUCUUACUAGGAGCGUUCUUUAAAACAAGGCGCUGCUGCUACGUACCAGUAGCGCGUGCUGACGAAACGCGUUGCUGACAUGGAUGUAGGAGUAGCAUGCCUAUGAUAGGCUGUGCUACUGCCAUAAUUGCCAUGACCCCGCCGUGAAGCUAGUUAUAGCAGCAGCGCCUCAAUACAAAGAGCAAUACUGCUACAGAUCAUAGAAGUAGUGCAUUCACACUAUAACCGCUACUACUAAGUUUACUACAAAAUUUAGUCCCACCUCGCUCCGUGAACAGGGUUUUUACCACCUUAAGUAUGUUACUUCUCAACUAUUACAACCACUUGGUCUUUGUUGAACUCCGUGUGUAGAAUUUGUGGCCGCAAUAUGAGUCUCCUCCGGUUUCUAAUUGUACACAAAGAGAUCAUUGAUGAUCAAUGUAUGUUUUAUGUA